UGGGGAAUAUUGCACAAUGGGCGCAAGCCUGAUGCAGCCAUGCCGCGUGUGUGAAGAAGGCCUUCGGGUUUUAAAGCACUUUCAGCGGGGAGGAAGGCGGUGAGGUUAAUAACCUCAUCGAUUGACGUUACCCGCAGAAGAAGCACCGGCUAACUCCGUGCCAGCAGCCGCGGUAAUACGGAUGGUGCAAGCGUUAAUCGGAAUUACUGGGCGUAAAGCGCACGCAGGCGGUCUGUCAAGUCGGAUGUGAAAUCCCCGGGCUCAACCUGGGAACUGCAUUCGAAACUGGCAGGCUAGAGUCUUGUAGAGGGGGGUAGAAUUCCAGGUGUAGCGGUGAAAUGCGUAGAGAUCUGGAGGAAUACCGGUGGCGAAGGCGGCGCCCUGGAAAAAGACUGACGCUAAGGUGCGAAAGCGUGGGGAGCAAACAGG
rnacentral:rRNA from 1 species